UACGUAGGGCGCAAGCGUUUAUCCGGAAUUAUUGGGCGUAAAGAGCUCGUAGGCGGUUUGUCGCGUCUGCCGUGAAAGUCCGGGGCUCAACUCCGGAUCUGCGGUGGGUACGGGCAGACUAGAGUGAUGUAGGGGAGACUGGAAUUCCUGGUGUAGCGGUGAAAUGCGCAGAUAUCAGGAGGAACACCAAAGGCGAAGGCAGUGUCCUGGGGAGUACCUGACGCUCAGGUGCGAAAGCCAGGGGAGCGAACGGG
rnacentral:rRNA from 1 species